UAUAAUGUCGUAUGAGAAACGACUUUUACUUCUAAGACCGUAUUUAUGAACACUUUCCUGAGGGAAGAAAUAGAGUCAACAGCUCCUUGCAAUCCCUGUUUGCAGAAAUAUUUCACAUUUCGGAUGUCACCUCGCUUUUGCAGGAAUUAAGUUGGCAUUUUUAGAAUGUUGUCAACAAAAAGUCAUUAGUAUGUAAUGUUCCUGGAGAAUUUCGAUUUGCAUUUUGAGAUUUCAUGAAAUUUAAAAAAAACUUUGUAGUGAUUUCCGGCAUUUCAAUUUUUGUACAAUACGUAUGCAGGGUUUUUUGACAUCUCUCAUUCCACAUCUAUUAGUAUUAUGUAGUGUACAAAGUAUAAACUAGUCUUGGGGACCGCCCAACGAUAUUUUAUAAAAAGACCUUUGCAGAAAAUCAUUGAUGUAGAGGCUUAUAAUCCAGAAAGACGCAUUUAAGGGGUUAUUCGUAUAUGCAGUUGCAGUGGGUGAUAUGAAGACAUUUUUUAAUUUUUUCGACAAGACAAGAAAAAAAAUUUGAAAAUGACCUGUCUACAGCUGUUUUCCAAGUGUUUUUUUUGGGAAUGGUUUGCGGUGGAUACGAAAACUCGAUGAAAAUUCGACCGAAAUCAGAAUUUAUAUUAUUAUAUCGUAUUAUAUAGUCGCUGAAAGAAGGAAUUUCCAAAAUACGAACUGUUAAAAAAAUGGCGGCGAUUUUAAUAAAGAUAGAAAAUCAUUCGUUCAGCGGCUAACUAUUCCCAUAACAAAUAUUUGAUAAUAAUUUGGCGUUAAUUGGACUAGUAGUUUUUCAGUAAUCGUGUCUACCCCCAUACAUGUGAAACAGAGCUGUAACAUUUUUGUUCAUUGCAUGGAAUGCGAGGUAUCAAAUGCAAAGUUCCCUUUAGUACUUUCCGAAGCCGAUGUUAAUUUUGGCGUGAGUUGCAAAAGAGAUAAGUGCGGUGAUCCGAAAAGGGUCAAUUACUUCAAGGACCCGUUCCCAGAAACUUACCAAACCAAAAAUCGGAAAAAAAUAUGAU